rnacentral:rRNA from 1 species
AUGCUAUUUCUUUCAGACAACAACAUUACUGGCACGGUGCCGAAGGAGCUCGCUGAGUUGCCAGCACUGAGAAAGGUCGAUCUGUCAAAUAACAAUCUAUAUGGGAAGCUUCCUGAAUUUCGCAAGAAUGUGGAGGUGAUACUUGAUGGCAACCCAAACUUUGGCAAGCCUGCUCCUGCGCCUGGACCAGGUGGUAGCAGCAAUGACACUAAGCCUGGGGAUGAAAGUGGUGGAAGCAACAAGAGAUCCUCUUCUACCGGUGUCAUUGUUGGGUCAGUGGUUGGAGCUGUUGCUGUACUAGGCCUUAUUGCUGCAUUAGGAUUCUAUUGCUAUAAGAGAAAGCAGAAGCCUUCCGGAAGGGUGCAGAGUCCACAUGCUAUGGUCAUCCAUCCCAGGCACUCAGGGUCAGACCCUGACAUGGUAAAGAUCACAGUUGCUGGGGGAAAUGCCAAUGGUGGUGCGGCCACGAGCGAGCCAUAUAGCCAGGCAAGCAGUGCCCCCCGUGAUAUCCAUGUCGUUGAGGCUGGGAAUAUGGUCAUUUCAAUUCAAGUACUGCGUAAUGUGACCAACAACUUCAGUCAGGAGAACAUCCUUGGUCGUGGUGGGUUUGGCACUGUCUACAAGGGUGAGCUCCAUGAUGGUACAAAAAUUGCUGUGAAGCGAAUGGAGUCUGGUGUUAUGGGCAACAAGGGGCUAAACGAGUUUAAAUCAGAGAUUUCUGUGCUGACCAAGGUCCGUCAUCGGAACCUUGUGUCACUGCUUGGAUACUGUCUUGAUGGUAAUGAGAGGAUUCUUGUAUACGAGUACAUGCCACAGGGUCCAGUGAGCCAACACCUGUUUGAGUGGAAAGAACACAAUUUGCAGCCGUUGGAAUGGAAGAGGCGACUCAGCAUUGCGCUUGAUGUUGCAAGAGGUGUUGAGUACCUGCACAGCCUUGCUCAGCAAACGUUCAUCCACAGAGACUUGAAACCAUCAAAUAUACUUCUUGGUGAUGACAUGAAGGCCAAGGUGGCAGACUUUGGAUUGGUGCGGCUUGCGCCAGCUGAUGGGAAGUGUGUAUCAGUAGAGACAAGGCUUGCUGGAACUUUUGGAUAUCUUGCCCCCGAGUAUGCAGUUACUGGACGUGUGACCACAAAAGCUGAUGUCUUCAGCUUUGGUGUCAUUUUGAUGGAGCUGGUGACGGGACGCAGGGCGCUUGAUGACACACAGCCUGAGGAUAGCAUGCACCUGGUUACAUGGUUCCGGAGAAUGCAGCUCAACAAUGAUACGUUCCAGAAGGCGAUCGACACAAGCAUGGAGCUUGAUGAGGAGACCUUAGCCAGCGUUAGCACGGUCGCACAGCUCGCGGGUCACUGCUGUGCUAGGGAACCACAUCAGAGGCCCGACAUGGGUCAUGCCGUGAACGUGCUCUCUACUCUUUCGGAAGUGUGGAAACCCGCAGACCCAGAUUCAGACGACAGUUACGGCAUCGACCUGGACAUGACGCUGCCUCAGGCGUUGAAGAAAUGGCAGGCCUUUGAGGACAGCAGCCAUUUUGACGGUGCGACCUCUUCGUUCCUGGCGAGCUUGGAUAACACCCAGACCAGCAUCCCGACGCGGCCUCCAGGGUUUGCUGAUUCCUUCACCUCCGCCGACGGAAGAUAA